rnacentral:rRNA from 1 species
AACGAACGCUGGCGGCAGGCUUAACACAUGCAAGUCGAACGCACCGCAAGGUGAGUGGCAGACGGGUGAGUAACGCGUGGGAACCUUCCUUUUAGUAAAGAAUAGCCCAGGGAAACUUGGAUUAAUACUUUAUACGCCCUACGGGGGAAAGAUUUAUCGCUAAAAGAUGGGCCCGCGUUGGAUUAGCUAGCUGGUGAGGUAAUGGCUCACCAAGGCUACGAUCUAAAGCUGAUCUGAGAGGAUGAUCAGCCACACUGGAACUGAGACACGGUCCAGACUCCUACGGGAGGCAGCAGUGGGGAAUAUUGGACAAUGGGCGCAAGCCUGAUCCAGCCAUGCCGCGUGAAUGACGAAGGCCUUCGGGUUGUAAAGUUCUUUAGCAGGGGAAAAUCAUGAUGGUACCCUGAAAAUAAGCUCCGGCUAACUUCGUGCCAGCAGCCGCGGUAA